rnacentral:rRNA from 1 species
CCAAUAGCGUAUAUUAAAGUUGUUGCAGUUAAAAAGCUCGUAGUUGAAUUUCGGGGUUAGUAAGUUGGUCAUGCCUUCGGUAUGUACUGGCUUUACUGAUUCCUCCUUCUUGACGAACCGUGAUGUCAUUAAUUUGGUGUUGCGGGAAAUCAGGACUGUUACUUUGAAAAAAUUAGAGUGUUUAAAGCAGGCUAACGCUUGAAUACAUUAGCAUGGAAUAAUGAAAUAGGACGUUAAUCCUAUUUUGUUGGUUUCUAGGAUCGACGUAAUGAUUAAUAGGGAUAGUUGGGGGCAUUAGUAUUCAAUUGUCAGAGGUGAAAUUCUUGGAUUUAUUGAAGACUAACUACUGCGAAAGCAUUUGCCAAGGAUGUUUUCAUUAAUCAAGGACGAAAGUUAGGGGAUCGAAGACGAUCAGAUACCGUCGUAGUCUUAACCAUAAACUAUGCCGACUAGGGAUCGGAUGAUGUUAUUUUUAAUGACUCAUUCGGCGCCUUACG